GCAUUAAUAGCUCAGCGUCAGAGCACCAGUCUUGUAAACUGGUUGUCGGGAGUUAAAAUCUCCCUUAUUGCU
rnacentral:tRNA from 1 species